CAGAAGUAAGUUCAAGGCCAUCCUUGGCUUCAUGAGACCCCAUCUAAAUAAAUAUAAAUAAAUAAAUAAAUAAAUGAAUGCUUCUUCAAAGAAUGAAAAUACAGCUUAGUGGCAGAGUUCAGAGUUCAAUCCCAGCACCAGAGGUGGUCUGUCUAGAGGUGGUAUUUACAUCACUACUUGCUUGGGGCUGAAAUCCAGCCUGUGUGUGGUCUCAGAAUGAUAACUUUUCCUGAUUCACAUAGAACUGCUGUGAGAGUUAACGUGAACAUCCUGAAUAUUUCCAAUAUAACCUAGAGGAAGAAAGCUAUGUAUCCAUGUAUCAUAAAGACCUGAGGAGAAAGUACAGUGUUGUGGGAUGGUCUGUAUGUCAAAUGUGUUGCUGAUUGGUCAAUGAAUAAAUCACUGAUUGGCAGUGGCCAGGCAGGAAGUAUAGGCAGGACUAACAGAGUGAAGAAUUGAGAGAACAGGAAGCUGGGUGGGAGAGACACUGCCAGCCGCCAUCAGGAUAAGGAAGAUGUAAAGUACCGACAGAAUACAUUGCUGAAUCUGGAAUGAAGAUGGCAGCCAUUUCGUCCAAACAGUCUUGCUGCCCCACCCUCCGGAUUACAGGACCUACAGAGCCACCUCCGACCUUUUAUGUAUGGGCACUGGAGAUCACACCAAGGUAGCACUGUUACCCACUUAGUUAUCUCCCCAGCUUCAAAAUAAUAAUGCAGAGAAGGAUGGCCUUGAACUCCAGAUCCUUCUUCUGUUGUACCCGUUUGUACCCAUUUUGCAAAACCCCCAGAGAUCACCAAGGAGCCGGUUUCUGAUGCAAGCACAUAAGGGUCCUUUUAUUAUCAGGUUCAACCUGGGCCACUGCAUGGCAGAUGGAAGGAAAUGUGGCGGUGGCCACGAGCCCAGGUGUAGAGAGUUUUUAAUAGGAAAAAAAAAACCCACAAGCCGGGAAUUACAUGCUUGGGAUUGCGUAGAA